UGGGGGAUAUUGCACAAUGGAGGAAACUCUGAUGCAGCGAUGCCGCGUGAGGGAAGAAGGUUUUCGGAUUGUAAACCUCUGUGGAACGGGACGAUAAUGACGGUACCGUUCAAGGAAGCCACGGCUAACUACGUGCCAGCAGCCGCGGUAAUACGUAGGUGGCGAGCGUUGUCCGGAAUUACUGGGUGUAAAGGGAGCGUAGGCGGGAAAGCAAGUCAGAAGUGAAAAUUAUGGGCUUAACCCAUAACCUGCUUUUGAAACUGUUUUUCCUUGAGUGAGUCAGAGGCAAGCGGAAUUCCAAGUGUAGCGGUGAAAUGCGUAGAUAUUUGGAGGAACACCGGUGGCGAAGGCGGCUUGCUGGGGCUUUACUGACGCUGAGGCUCGAAAGCGUGGGGAGCAAACAGGAUUAGAUACC
rnacentral:rRNA from 1 species